GAAAGCCUUUGGCUUAACCAAAGAAGUGCAUCGGAAACUGUCAGACUUGAGUGCAGAAGAGGACAGUGGAACUCCAUGUGUAGCGGUGGAAUGCGUAGAUAUAUGGAAGAACACCAGUGGCGAAGGCGGCUGUCUGGUCUGCAACUGACGCUGAGGCUCGAAAGCAUGGGUAGCGAACAGGAUUAGAUACCCUGGUAGUCCAUGCCGUAAACGAUGAGUGCUAGGUGUUGGAGGGUUUCCGCCCUUCAGUGCCGCAGCUAACGCAUUAAGCACUCCGCCUGGGGAGUACGACCGCAAGGUUGAAACUCAAAGGAAUUGACGGGGGCCCGCACAAGCGGUGGAGCAUGUGGUUUAAUUCGAAGCUACGCGAAGAACCUUACCAGGUCUUGACAUCUUGCGCCAACCCUAGAGAUAGGGCGUUUCCUUCGGGAACGCAAUGACAGGUGGUGCAUGGUCGUCGUCAGCUCGUGUCGUGAGAUGUUGGGUUAAGUCCCGCAACGAGCGC
rnacentral:rRNA from 2 species